rnacentral:rRNA from 1 species
CAUAGGUUAAUGAGGCGAACCGGGGGAACUGAAACAUCUAAGUACCCCGAGGAAAAGAAAUCAACCGAGAUUCCCCCAGUAGCGGCGAGCGAACGGGGAGCAGCCCAGAGCCUGAAUCAGUGUGUGUGUUAGUGGAAGCGUCUGGAAAGGCGCGCGAUACAGGGUGACAGCCCCGUACACAAAAAUGCACAUGCUGUGAGCUCGAUGAGUAGGGCGGGACACGUGGUAUCCUGUCUGAAUAUGGGGGGACCAUCCUCCAAGGCUAAAUACUCCUGACUGACCGAUAGUGAACCAGUACCGUGAGGGAAAGGCGAAAAGAACCCCGGCGAGGGGAGUGAAAAAGAACCUGAAACCGUGUACGUACAAGCAGUGGGAGCACGCUUAGGCGUGUGACUGCGUACCUUUUGUAUAAUGGGUCAGCGACUUAUAUUCUGUAGCAAGGUUAACCGAAUAGGGGAGCCGAAGGGAAACCGAGUCUUAACUGGGCGUUAAGUUGCAGGGUAUAGACCCGAAACCCGGUGAUCUAGCCAUGGGCAGGUUGAAGGUUGGGUAACACUAACUGGAGGACCGAACCGACUAAUGUUGAAAAAUUAGCGGAUGACUUGUGGCUGGGGGUGAAAGGCCAAUCAAACCGGGAGAUAGCUGGUUCUCCCCGAAAGCUAUUUAGGUAGCGCCUCGUGAAUUCAUCUCCGGGGGUAGAGCACUGUUUCGGCAAGGGGGUCAUCCCGACUUACCAACCCGAUGCAAACUGCGAAUACCGGAGAAUGUUAUCACGGGAGACACACGGCGGGUGCUAACGUCCGUCGUGAAGAGGGAAACAACCCAGACCGCCAGCUAAGGUCCCAAAGUCAUGGUUAAGUGGGAAACGAUGUGGGAAGGCCCAGACAGCCAGGAUGUUGGCUUAGAAGCAGCCAUCAUUUAAAGAAAGCGUAAUAGCUCACUGGUCGAGUCGGCCUGCGCGGAAGAUGUAACGGGGCUAAACCAUGCACCGAAGCUGCGGCAGCGACGCUUAUGCGUUGUUGGGUAGGGGAGCGUUCUGUAAGCCUGUGAAGGUGUGCUGUGAGGCAUGCUGGAGGUAUCAGAAGUGCGAAUGCUGACAUAAGUAACGAUAAAGCGGGUGAAAAGCCCGCUCGCCGGAAGACCAAGGGUUCCUGUCCAACGUUAAUCGGGGCAGGGUGAGUCGACCCCUAAGGCGAGGCCGAAAGGCGUAGUCGAUGGGAAACAGGUUAAUAUUCCUGUACUUGGUGUUACUGCGAAGGGGGGACGGAGAAGGCUAUGUUGGCCGGGCGACGGUUGUCCCGGUUUAAGCGUGUAGGCUGGUUUUCCAGGCAAAUCCGGAAAAUCAAGGCUGAGGCGUGAUGACGAGGCACUACGGUGCUGAAGCAACAAAUGCCCUGCUUCCAGGAAAAGCCUCUAAGCAUCAGGUAACAUCAAAUCGUACCCCAAACCGACACAGGUGGUCAGGUAGAGAAUACCAAGGCGCUUGAGAGAACUCGGGUGAAGGAACUAGGCAAAAUGGUGCCGUAACUUCGGGAGAAGGCACGCUGAUAUGUAGGUGAAGUCCCUUGCGGAUGGAGCUGAAAUCAGUCGAAGAUACCAGCUGGCUGCAACUGUUUAUUAAAAACACAGCACUGUGCAAACACGAAAGUGGACGUAUACGGUGUGACGCCUGCCCGGUGCCGGAAGGUUAAUUGAUGGGGUUAGCGGUAACGCGAAGCUCUUGAUCGAAGCCCCGGUAAACGGCGGCCGUAACUAUAACGGUCCUAAGGUAGCGAAAUUCCUUGUCGGGUAAGUUCCGACCUGCACGAAUGGCGUAAUGAUGGCCAGGCUGUCUCCACCCGAGACUCAGUGAAAUUGAACUCGCUGUGAAGAUGCAGUGUACCCGCGGCAAGACGGAAAGACCCCGUGAACCUUUACUAUAGCUUGACACUGAACAUUGAGCCUUGAUGUGUAGGAUAGGUGGGAGGCUUUGAAGUGUGGACGCCAGUCUGCAUGGAGCCGACCUUGAAAUACCACCCUUUAAUGUUU